rnacentral:lncRNA from 1 species
AAAAGUGUCUCUAGAGAUAACCUAUUUUAGUUUUCUUUUUCUAGAUAUUUUAGAAGAAGUCACCAUUACCACUCAAAUUUGAAAUCAAAUCAGCUAGUGUCAGCACAGAAUGUGGUGAAUUUUGAGACACAGAAUCGAAAGAGGAUAAGAGCAAAACAAAAACAACCAACUUUAACAUCUUUCACAGAGCAGAGAGUAACAGAGUUCCAUUCCUUCUUCAAUAAUUCCGCACCAUACACUGAACAAUGCAUGCCAUUCUGCCAACCCUGCAAUAAUAUAAUGUAAUCAAAUACCACAAGUAAAUUAUGAAUUUGAACCAAAAAAAACAAUUUGUAUAGUCAAUAAGAGUAUAAUAUUGAAUUUCAGUGAAAAGUGGACGAAAUGUAGAACGACACGUGCGGAUGCAGUCUUAUGCGAUCUUGAAUUGUUGUUGCCACGAAACAUAUCAUUAUGGGUAUAGCAGUUUCUGUUCAUGGGGUCCAUAGACUAGACAACUAUUGUGUUUUCAUGUUUUACUACUAUGUUUGUAUUUUUAGUUGUAAAAUGGUUUCCUACAGAUCGACACCAAACGAAUACAUAUUUGUAUCUUGCAAUUAUCCGAUGCCAG